rnacentral:lncRNA from 1 species
UUAUAGAAGCUACAGGUCGUCUCAAGAUCUACAUGUUAUGGAAAAGGACUUAUGUAAUUUAAUUUUUGGGUUUGGCAUAUAUGUAAUUAGUAGAGUUAAUAGGGAAAUAAAUGUAAUUGCCCCUAACACGAUAUUUUUUACGCUACUUUUUUUAUUUUAUGUUUAAAUUUGUCGCAGUAACGUAUUUGGAGAACAAUUGAGCGGGUAUCACGGUGUUCGGAUUUAUGCUGGAUAGGACUUCAUUGCACACUAAGGUAACGAUCUGCCAAUCUGAGAGAGUAGGAAUGUUGUUGUAUCCGAUUAUUUCAAAUGGUUCGAGAUUCUGUUGGUGAAUAUAAAUGAUCUGAUAUGGAUAAAUUCUUCUCUAUGUAUUAUGAUACAAAUGCUUCCUAAGUUCCUAUCAAAACCAUUACCUUCAUUUUUUGUUUGUACGUAUUUGUUAUAGAUUCUUCUGGUGGCAUUGUUGCAGAUAACCAAGGUAAGUUGGUUUUUAGGGAUGUUUUUUGGUUGCAAUGUGUCGAAAACUCCUUUCUGCAUUUGCGGCUCCUUAUUACCCAUUCGAGUGGUCUACGUGGGUUCCGAAGAAGGUUGAUGUUCUCUGUUUGAGAGCAGAGCAAAACCGACUCUCAACUUUAGAGGGCUUGCAUUGAAGGAACCUUGUAUGGGGUUCGAUAAAGUGUCGUUUGUGUGGAGAAUAUACAGAGACGUCACACCUGUUCUCCUCAUGUUUCAUAGCAGCAAACUUAUGAAGUAAAGUAAGCUAAUGGUGUGAAAUUCCGCCAAUCUUUGCUUUCACUUUUAAAGACCUACUGCAAGCGGUAAUUCUCACCACCUGCUGGUCAUAUGGAAGGGCGAAACGGACUUAUUUUUUCACGCAGAAGAGUUAUUCUUGAGCAGCUGCUAAGCGAGAUCAAAACAAUGUCAUUCAUGUGGGUCAAAAAUCGAGCGAAGCGUAUUGAGGUAGAAUGGGACAACUGGCGAAGAUUCGAGGUUUCAAAUGUUUUGCUUUGUCCAUUUGCAGUAGGAAGUAAUGUUGUACAGCCAGUAUGCUUCAGUAUGGUACGAUAUCGGUACUGUAUUGUUGUCAAAUCAACGCCACCUGAUUUGAUGGAGGAAGCAGGGAAACUCAAGUUUGUAUGCUUAUCGAAUGAUAAUAUUGAUGAACAUAUGAUGUGAUCUUUAGUGAUGGCCGUAGCCAGAAGUUCUAGAUGGCUUAGAGAAACAGUAAAUGUUGUUUGUCGGGGGACACCUUAAUCCUUGAUAAAAGUAAAAAAAAAAAAAUAGAAUUUUUUAUAUUUCUAUGCAUUUUAACUGUAUUUUCACUUUGUCAAUAAGUAAUUUCUGUAAUAAAUAUGUCACUUUGUUUGUAUUUAUAUUAUUUGUACACUUUGUGAUAAUGUAUAUUAAAUUUUCC